rnacentral:rRNA from 1 species
UACAGAGGGUGCGAGCGUUAAUCGGAAUUACUGGGCGUAAAGGGUGCGUAGGUGGUUUUGUAAGUAACAUGUGAAAGUCCUGAGCUUAACUUGGGGAUGGCCUGUUAAACUGCAAAGCUAGAGUGUUGUAGAGGAUAGCGGAAUUUCCGGUGUAGCGGUGAAAUGCGUAGAUAUCGAAAGGAACAUCAGUGGCGAAGGCGGCUAUCUGGACAACAACUGACACUGAGGCACGAAAGCGUGGGGAGCAAACAGG